AGUGAACGCUGGCGGUAGGCCUAACACAUGCAAGUCGAACGGCAGCACAGUAAGAGCUUGCUCUUACGGGUGGCGAGUGGCGGACGGGUGAGGAAUACAUCGGAAUCUACUUUUUCGUGGGGGAUAACGUAGGGAAACUUACGCUAAUACCGCAUACGACCUACGGGUGAAAGCAGGGGAUCUUCGGACCUUGCGCGAUUGAAUGAGCCGAUGUCGGAUUAGCUAGUUGGCGGGGUAAAGGCCCACCAAGGCGACGAUCCGUAGCUGGUCUGAGAGGAUGAUCAGCCACACUGGAACUGAGACACGGUCCAGACUCCUACGGGAGGCAGCAGUGGGGAAUAUUGGACAAUGGGCGCAAGCCUGAUCCAGCCAUACCGCGUGGGUGAAGAAGGCCUUCGGGUUGUAAAGCCCUUUUGUUGGGAAAGAAAAGCAGCAGGUUAAUACCCCGCUGUUUUGACGGUACCCAAAGAAUAAGCACCGGCUAACUUCG
rnacentral:rRNA from 1 species